GACGAACGCUGGCGGCGUGCUUAACACAUGCAAGUCGAACGGAAAGGCCCUGCUUUUGUGGGUUGCUCGAGUGGCGAACGGGUGAGUAACACGUGAGUAACCUCCCCUUGACUUUGGGAUAACUUCAGGAAACUGGGGCUAAUACCGGAUAGGAGCUCCUGCUGCAUGGUGGGGGUUGGAAAGUUUCGGCGGUUGGGGAUGGACUCGCGGCUUAUCAGCUUGUUGGUGGGGUAGUGGCUUACCAAGGCUUUGACGGGUAGCCGGCCUGAGAGGGUGGCCGGCCACAUUGGGACUGAGAUACGGCCCAGACUCCUACGGGAGGCAGCAGUGGGGAAUAUUGCACAAUGGGCGGAAGCCUGAUGCAGCAACGCCGCGUGCGGGAUGACGGCCUUCGGGUUGUAAACCGCUUUCGCCUGUGACGAAGCGUGAGUGACGGUAAUGGGUAAAGAAGCACCGGCUAACUACGUG
rnacentral:rRNA from 1 species